rnacentral:rRNA from 1 species
CCCUUAGAUGUUCUGGGCCGCACGCGCGCUACACUGAUGCAUUCAACGAGUCUAAAACCUGCUCUGAUAGGGGUGGGUAAUCUUUUGAAUGUGCAUCGUGAUUGGGAUAGAUGAUUGCAAUUUUUCAUCUUUAACGAGGAAUGCCUAGUAAACGCAAGUCAUCAGCUUGCAUUGAUUACGUCCCUGCCCUUUGUACGCACCGCCCGUCGCUCCUACCGAUUGAAUGAUCCGAUGAAUAUCAUGGAUUGAGGAUGCAAGCAGGUUCGCCUGUCUUCAUCUUCGAGAAGUGAAGUAAAUCUUAUCAUUUAGAGGAAGGAGAAGUCGUAACA